rnacentral:rRNA from 13 species
GAUCAGCCACACUGGGACUGAGACACGGCCCAGACUCCUACGGGAGGCAGCAGUGGGGAAUCUUAGACAAUGGGCGCAAGCCUGAUCUAGCCAUGCCGCGUGUGUGAUGAAGGUCUUAGGAUCGUAAAGCACUUUCGCCAGGGAUGAUAAUGACAGUACCUGGUAAAGAAACCCCGGCUAACUCCGUGCCAGCAGCCGCGGUAAUACGGAGGGGGUUAGCGUUGUUCGGAAUUACUGGGCGU